UAGUAAAAUUUAGUUAACCAACAUCACAAUAGCUAAAAGAUGUUUAAAUAAUCAACUGGUGGUUACAAAUAACAAAGGUAACAAUUAAAUCGGUGUGUCAACAAUUGGGACGAAAAAAAAAUACAAGAAAAACAAACAAUUAACCAAAAAAAAUUCAUGUUUAGUUAAUUAGAUUUGAGAGAAAAGAACAAAAAAAAUUUGGAAAAAUUUGAUUACCGAAAAUGAAAAUUACCAAAGUAACGGUUACGAAAAUAAAUCGAACCGGAAACGGAUAAGUGACCAAUCGGUUAACCGGUUAAUUUAAUAAUCGAAUUAAUUUGUUUGUUUGUUUUUCUCUUAAAAUUUGUAACUUGUGAUGAUUCUUACAAUUAAAACUAAUUACAUGUGUGCACUUUACAUGGUCUGAUUUCCAAUGUGUCAAUACACAACUUCCGUGGAGGAUUAAGAUCUACUGUUCGGACUGAGAAUUAACCAUAAGAUGAUUUGGAGAAUCAAGAAUAUGGCCUAGAAAGAUGAUUAAAAUGUGUCUCUCUCCCUUGUGACAUCUUGGAUCGGAUUAAACUUGUCAUUUAUUAUUCAGUUGUAACUCAUGAUGACUACUAAAGAUGACGAUUAUUCCUGAGGAUUGUUUGGUUCUGUUUUUAGGUUAUUUCAAUGUUACUCAGGCUCUCUCUCUCUCUCUCUCUCUCUCUGGUACAUUUAUGUUACUUCUUACACCUUGUUGGCCUUAAUCAUCUAAUCAAAUGGUGUGUAUCAUUUACUCAUGUACCCAGAAACUUUGAUUGUCAUUACAAUUUAUUGAUUCACAAGAAAGUGAUGAUUUGUAAUCAACAAAGAAACACCAACGAAACCGUAUAUCCAUUAGUGUUUGAAGGCAUCAGAGAAGAAGAAAAGUUUCAAGACAUAAAUUCUCAUGUGAAAUCACGAAAUAUCAUUUGGUAUAUUCCAAAUAACAUGUUCGUCAACAUCAAUAAUGAUGAUGAUGAUGAGGAUAAUUCAUCUUAUGGGCCAGAAAGAAAAUGACCAAGAAAGAAUCAAACUUUGAGUUGUAAGUGUGAAUGGAAAAACUUUCCCCAGUAAACAUGGUCAUCUAACAUUCACCUACGUGUAGAUCAUCAUCAUCAUCAUCAUCAUCUUUUAGUCAAAUCUGCUUAUCAAAUACAAUAACAAUGAUGAUGAUGAUGAUGAUAAACAACAUUACAGGUAACAGGACAAUAAUUAUCAUCUUAAACAAUAAUAACAACCUUAAUCUCUGUGGUUAAUAAGGAUAGGUGUUGAUCCAUCAUCUUGUUAAUGGGAAAAACUGAAACAAUGUCCUUAACGAUCCUAAAUUGUUUUAAUUCUGUACCCUUGUUGUUGUUAAUCAUUUUGUCUCUUAUUAACAUUUAAUCAGAUUUGGUUUCAAUGUUAAUCAACAGUAAGUUUUAAACUCAUGGUAAAUUUAACCAGAUUUUACACUAACCAUGUUCAUGCAAUCAGAUCAUGGGUGAUAAUUUGUUGUAACAUCUCUAGUAUCAAUUGUAAUUCUAGUUGCAUAGUUUCUGGUCAUGAUUAAUUAACUACAAUUAGCUAAUAAUCCAAUGGUAUCCUAUUACUUAAUUGUUGUUAAUUUAUCAGGAUUUGGUAACUCAAUUGAAUUACAAAUAAAAAGACAGCUAACAAUUACAUGUAUCUCUAUGAUGGUUAAUCACUAAUUCACAUUCACACUGAUUUACAUUCAUCAUUAUGAAUUAAAAUUAUUGAUGGCUGAUGAUUAAAACAAAGAAUGACGAAUGAUAUCUAAUUGUAUUUGAAACCAUUAAUCGAUUACAGACUAAUAAGGAAAAAUGAUGUUGGAAAAUCAACCAAUUGGUUGAUUAAACUCUAAAUAACUGUUAACUCUUUUCAUUGUGAUUGACCUUUGACGACCUUUAAAUCAGCUGAUUAUAAUUAUUCAACAAUUAACCUUUACUACGAAAAGUAAUUGAACUUGAUCAAUAAACUGGUAACAAUUUAAUAAUCAACCAGGAGGAUCAAUCAUCAUCAUAUAAUCAAAGUUAAUCAACUACAAUUUAACUUUGAUUAUUGUUAUUUAUACUGUCACCUUUAAUGGAGCAAUUGACUUUUAAUUUUAAUCCAAAAAAAUUAAAUCCCAAACUAAUUAUGGAUUAAAAAGAGAAAGAGAAAGUUAAUCACAUUUAGAUUAAGGAUUAAGGAUUAAGACAGAAAGGUUGAAAUUAUAUUUGAUGAUUUAAAUUAAUAUUCAAAAAUUGAUGUGUUAUUAUCAACGUAACAAUUUAAAUGUUUUCAUCAUCAUCAUCAUGACCUUAAGCAUGUUAAGGUUAUGAGGACAAAUCUUAAUUCAUCUUGAUUAAGUUAAUUCAGUUGUGGAGACCGUGAAAAUUAAAAAUUCAUGUAGGUGAAUGGUUAAGAUUACGUGGUAAUGAAAACUGUUCAGUUAAGGUAAAAGUUAAUUGUAAUUAAGGUGAAAGGACAACAAUUUAAACAGCUGAAAAGUUAAACUUAUCAUGAUUAUAUUAUCCCAACAAUUAAAUGAUGAUUUUGUUAAUUGUUUGUUAUUAUUGUUAGGCCUUAGAUAAUUUAUCAAUUACCAUUGAAAUGAUAGCAAUUAAUGAAGAAAUUAAUUUAUUACAUUCAAUGAUAAUUAACUAAUUGUUUGUUUGUUUGUUUUUUCAGUUAGUAUCUUGAUAAGAUGAUGCAACAAUUAAUUGUCACAUUUAAUAUUGUCCAGACUUUGACCUGGUCAUUUAAUUGUUAUCAUGUUCAUUUAAAGUUGAUCCUCAACUUUUAUCAUUUGUUUUUCUGUCACAAUUAAAAUUGAUUGUUGAAUGAUAAUGAAGAAAAUAUCACUUUAAGAUGUUAAAUGAUAGUUACAAUUAGUUAACUGUUUUAUUUCCCUCUUCUUUGUUUUUUUAUUACUUUCAAUCAAUUUUAAUUGUUUGUUUACUUUUGUUUUAUCAGUUAAUCAGUUAAACAUUUAGCAACAAUUAACCAAUAUUUAACUAUGGGAAAUUAGCAAAACUUUUAAGUGGCAAUUUCAACACCAAGUUAACUGAUUUAAACAAUUUUCAAUUGUGAUGAUUGAAAAUGAUGAUGAUGUUCAAUUGAUAAUAAUAAUAAUUGAUUGUUGUGAUGACAAUUUAACAAAUUUUCCGAUUGGUGAAAUUGUUUAACCAUCAAUUUCACAAUUCAUCACUUUAAUCAUGAUAACAAUCAUAUUGAUUAAUCAACGAUAGAUUAACAUUGAUUAAUAAGGUUGUAAUAAUAAAAAAACGUGCAAGGUCAACAUUUAAUUGUUGGAAAUUUAAUUUUUCUAAUGAUAAAACUAAAUGAUCAUCAAUUUUUAAUCAUUAUCAACAAUCAUAAUCAUCAUUUUAUUGACCCAAACUUAACAUUUCACAAUUUAGGUCACAAUUAAUUCUUGUCGUUUAUUAUCAAUGGUCAUCUUUAACUGACCACCAACAAUUUAAAUGACCAAAUUUUGACGAUCCUUUGAAAGUUAAUUGUUAUGAUUUACUUAUCUUGACAAUCAAAGGUUUACCAAAAACUAAUCAUAAUAAUUAAUCAAUUUGUACAUUCAAAAAUAGAGCAAUCAGUUAAUUGUUGAAGAUUAAGCAAAAAUCACAACUCGAUUAAACAAAUUGUCAUCAUUUAAAUCAACUAAACUGCCAAUUGUUUGUUUGAUUAACUUGCAAUUCAGGUUUAAUUGAUUGAUUUUCUCGUCACCAUCAAAUGCAUAUAUUUAGAUGAUUAAUAGACAAUUGACCUUGAUUGCAAUCAAAGGUUCACAUUGUGAAUUAAGAAGAAAAAAAAAUUAGUAAAUUGCUGGAAGCAAAUCAAGUUGUAAAUACUAAUCAUCAUCAUUAACACCACCAUAGGACUUGAUUAUCAACAAUCGUUAAUCAUUAUGAUGAUCACAAUCAAUAAGAUUCUUGAUAAUUGAAUUUAGCAGCGACAAUUAAUAAAAACAAAGAGUAAAAAGUUAAUUGUAUUGGUUAAUCUGAUAUACUAAAUUACUGGAGGUCAGGUCAAUGGUGAUGAUGAUUAAGUAAAUUGUUAUCGUUAUUAAAGUUUAAUAAUGUUCUGAUAAUAAUGGUAAUCAAGUUAUUAUUAUUAUUUAGUAUAAAUGAUUGGUUAUAAUAGGAAAAAAAAUUAGUUAAUCAUGAAAGAAAUGAUCAACCAGAGAAGAGGCCAAGAAGAAUAUUGUUAAUCAUUAUUGAUUGUUGAUCAUUAGUUAAUCAUAAACAAUCUCAUUAUAAAUCGAUUCACUUGAUUUAGGCCUUUUGAUUACGAACAAUUCAAGGUCAAGUAAUCAAAAAACUUGGGGUCAAAACUUGCUGGUUAAUUUAAUAAUAGAUUUGAUUGAUUAAAUCAAUAAUCAAAGGGUUUACGAAGCUUAAUUGUUAUUGGUCAAUUUAAAUUGUUGCUGAUUCUUUCAUCAUCAUCAUCAAUAUCUUAUUGAGUGAUUUACUCAAAUUGUUUACAAUUCAACUAAAUUUAAAUGAUCAUGGUUAUGGUGAUGACUACGUGCCAAUAUUUGGGUGCAAUUAAAACUAAUUGUUUCCUAAUUGUCACAAUCAAGGCUGUCAGGUUUUACUUUUUUUUUUAAAUUGUGUACAAUUUAAGCUGAUCCCCUUUACAAUUGGCUCUAAUACUGUCAAGGUAAUGAUGAUAAUUUAAUAAUGAUUAUUAAUUGUGAAUAUACAUUUUGUUUCAGGAGGGAUUUAAUUUAUUUAUAGGAAAACGACAAUUAACAAAUGACAAUUAACUUUGAUCAACCAUUUAAAUGAUAAUCUAUUAUGUUUGAUCACCAUGAAAAACACCAAUUGAUUAGCAUUAUAAUUUUACAGAUUAAUUUCAACUUCAUUAUUGUAUUUUUGGGUUGAUUGUUAAUCGCUUUUAAUUCAGUUAAAUCAACUCAUUUAACUGAUCACCAUAGGAAUUGAUAUAUAAUUUGAUAGCCUGAGGCAUUUUUGCAAUUUACUUAAUUUGGUUUCAUUUUUUUUUUCUUUGUCUGUUUAAUUGUUCAAGGAUUUGAUUUUCCUUUAUUAUUUGAUUGUUGUUGUUUCUGAUGAUGAUUAUGAUUAAUCAAAUGUUGACAAUCAGGAAGAAAUCAAAGGACAAUUAUGAAUUAAAUUGUGAUUAUCAUUCAGGUAUUGGUCAAAUAUGAACAACAAGUGAUUAGAUUAAUUUUUUACUCUCUCCAAUCCUAAUUAUCUUAAUGAUUUAAUAAUGAUGAUUGUUAAUGUUAACAACAAUUAACCCUAUUAGUUGAUUAUCUUGAUUUACCUUUUUCAAUUGUGGUUAAUGUGACAAGGAUCAUUACAACAAUUUAAUUCAAUAGGUGGUUAACUGUUGAGUUUAAAUUUAAUUCUUGUCGCAAAUUGUUGGGAAAACAAAAAAAAAGUGACCAUUGUAAUUGAUUCACAAACUUUUUAAUUAGUAAUCAAUCAAUUUAUCAAUGGACAAUCAAAUAGUAACACUGAUUAACCUUAAUUAUUGACCCAAUGAUCAUGAACUUGAGUUAACAAUUAAUUGUAACUUCAAGUUGUAUUAUAUAAAUCAAAUGUCACUAUUCACAUGAUUAAUUGUUGUUGAUAUUGUUAAAUUGUUUCCAGGUCAAUUGUAAUCUAAUCAUUGAAUUAUAAUUAUUUAAUUGUAAAUCAUCAGCUCUCAUCAUCAUUAACUAAUAAUAAUCAUUCAAAUAUAAAUUAUGUUAAAUAAUAAUCCUAAUAAUGUUUAAUUAGUUAUAAUUACAACAAUAACUUGUUAACAAUGAUAAUAUGUACAAGGAAAAAAAAACUCAACCAAUUUAAUCAAUAAACAAGGUUAUUGAUUAUCAACUGAUUGUAAUCAACAUAAUUUACAUUCAAAAAAAUUAGUAAAUUGUCAAUUUGAAUAAUUACAAUUUUUCAAAUAGUUCACCUUCAGUAUUGAUAAGUAAUUGUAAUGACGAUAACAAUCAUUAUCAUGUUAAUCAUGUAAUUGUUGUGAUAAUAAUCAUAGUUUGGGUUAACAAUCAAUUCAAUUAAUAGCAUUUUCUAAUUAUAAUUAGAUUGUGACUUUCCAAUUUUUACCUUAGAGGGUUUUAAACUGACCAUUCGGAUAGUAAUUAAACUAAUUGUUCAGCAAAAACUUUUUCGUUUUGUUUUUCUCUAACGAUUAAGCAAUCAACUUAUAGAUUGAUUUUUUAUUUUCUCGUUGAUUGUGAUUGAUCAAGUUUUGAGAAUCAUUGAUUUGUAUGAUUGAAUUUGUAUGUAUUGGGAAACUGAGGUAAAUUAAUCAAAUUAACGGUAAGCUUUUGGUGUUUAAUUGUCACUGAAAAAAUUUAUUACCAUCCAAUUGGUUGAUUAUUAUGUAUAAUAUUGGGUGAAUCAGUUAACUAUUCAUGAUUGUUAGUCAACUGUGGUCAAUUGUGGUUGGUCAGUUUUUUUUGUAUUGUAUUUUCUGGUGGCAAAGUUAUAUUA